rnacentral:rRNA from 1 species
GAUGAACGCUGGCGGCGUGCCUAAUACAUGCAAGUCGAGCGAACGGACGAGAAGCUUGCUUCUCUGAUGUUAGCGGCGGACGGGUGAGUAACACGUGGAUAACCUACCUAUAAGACUGGGAUAACUUCGGGAAACCGGAGCUAAUACCGGAUAAUAUUCUGAACCGCAUGGUUCAAAAGUGAAAGACGGUCUUUCUGUCACUUAUAGAUGGAUCCGCGCUGCAUUAGCUAGUUGGUAAGGUAACGGCUUACCAAGGCAACGAUGCAUAGCCGACCUGAGAGAGUGAUAGGCCACACUAGAACUGAGACGCGGUCCAGACUCCUACGGGAGGCAGCAGUAGGGAAUCUUCCGCAAUGGGCGAAAGCCUGACGGAGCAACGCCGCGUGAGUGAUGAAGGUCUUCGGAUCGUAAAACUCUGUUAUUAGGGAAGAACAUAUGUGUAAGUAACUGUGCACAUCUUGACGGUACCUAAUCAGAAAGCCACGGCUAACUACGUG